AGCGAACAGUGGAGGUGGUCUCCUCCGAGCGAACAGUGGAGGUGGUGGCGGCCACUGCAGUAGCAGCGUGCCGAGAAGGAUGGCGCCUGCGACGGCGAGGAUGCGGCGGCAGAGCUCAUCGGCCGGCCUGUGCAGCCUCCUCCAUGGAGGCCGAUCAGCGUGGGUCCAAGCUGGUGCAGCCCGUUCCAGUCAAAGGGUGUCAUCCGUUGGGCCGCCUCUCCAUUAUUGCUCCCCGCCAUCCGAGCCGUGGGUGAGCGUCGCCGGCCCACCGCAUUCCUCGCGCGCGCGCAGGCUCUGCGCCCUCUUGGCCCCCUCGCCGCCCCGCCUCUCGCUGCCGCCGGCCCCGACGUGGCGAAGCCAUCGCCGUGCGUCGUGAUCGUCGUCGUCGUCCUCAACAGAGCAGUAGCGUUCGCCGGGGCUCCGCCCUUCACGGUCGCUCGACCUUGCACCCGGCACGGACCUCUGCAUGAGCGGGAGCGCCGAGGGGGAGGUCGACGAGCUUUGCCGAGGCGCCGCCUCUAGAUCCACGAGCGCUGGGCUGCCACGGCCGUUGCCAUUACGGCAUCCGUAGCAACUGCCCCGGCCAACCAGCGCGAGGCCGAGCUCUCCGACCUGGCAUCUGCCACGCCCGCGGCCUCCUUCUUCGUUGCGUUGCGGAAGAAGGAGUCAAAGGAGCAGGCCACGGCGAGGUCACUGGACAGCUUCAGCUUGCUGAUGGAUGAGACGACGGGCGAUCCGCCUGCUUCUCCUCGCAGUCGCCUCCGGCCACGGACGCUGGCGCCAGCUACCGAGCUCAACCUGUCGGCGGCGGCGACGGACCACGCGGGAGUGAAGAACGCAAACCUCUGUAUCGAGCAGACCCCGCAACUUCAACCUCAUUCAACACGAGCUCUUCCAGGUAAAAUGACUACCCUCAGAAAGCUUCCGCUUACUGCAAGUCCUAUGAGAACACCUAGGAGUUCAUUGGUAUCUGCACCAACAACUGCAUUAUUGAAGUAUCUGAGGAGUCGACUUCCAUCUGAUAAGGAAGCACAAGCACCCCGAUAAAAGAUGACGACAUUGUUGCAGCGAGUCAAUCGUCCUCAUCUUCAAAGGAAUUGGACUUGAGCGAUCUUGAGAUGACCAGUGUACCAGCUUCGGCAUAGGAGACAUGCAAUGUAUUUGGCAUACAAAAGAACCUCAAUUUGUCAAGUCUUAUGAUAUCAUCCACUGAUCUUGUGUCUCUAUCCAAACUGUAAGUACUUGAUUUAAGUGACAAUGCUUCAGCACUACCUGAACCUUCUGUAGUUUCUGUGCUACCACAAUUACAGGAGCUCUACCUAAGAUUGGAACUUGGAACAUAUGCCCAGCCUCUAAACUACAACUAUUACAUGAAAGCUUAUCUAUCUCUCUAUCUGUAAGUGAACGGAUAAAACUCCAUGAAUUUCCUUAUGGUUUGCUGGACUUAAAACAACUUCGGAUUCUUGACUUCAGUCAGAAUAACCUCACAACUGUACCUUAAGUAAUUAUUAGGGUUUCUUGGCAAGGGAAGCAGGAAUUUUGAUAGUUUGCAUAAAAUUUCCUAUUGAUUUCCUUAUAAUGGUUUCGAAACUCAAGAUUUUUUAUGUUGUAAUGUUGUAAGCAGCUGUUAGUGGCUCCUUUUCAGUUUCUGCAUGUGCUGACUAAACUGCACUUAAGCAGAGUACAUAGAAUUUUACUGCUCUGAUUGAGCUUGAUCUAUCAGACAACAACAUAACAGCGCUCCCAGCAAAGUUGGUAUUCCCCUCCACCCUUCUUUUUUUUUGAAACUAUCUGCAGAUACUGUUCCAUAGUAGGUGUUCUGGACAACUUCAAACAUCUGAACUCUAUCAUAGCACACACUGAUUGUGAUAAAUAACAUAUACUGGCAUCAAGCGAAAAAUACUUUUCUCACGGUUGCAUGGUUCUCAAUCUCGCUGAAUCUUUUUUCGUGGAUGCUUAGCCUAAGCUGCAAGUGUUGAAAUUUGACAGGAAUCAGCUUCAUUCUUCUAUAGCUGAUGCUGAUAUAAAUGCUCUCCUAGCUACAUACCCUUGCAUAUUUUUGCUGGCAGUUUUUGCAAUGUGCUUUGUGUUGUUGUCUUCCGGAGUUGAUUCUGAAAGCUCCGAUUUUUAACACUUAUAUGGGAGAACAGGAUAAACUUUGAAGCUUUGGAGAAGGGGUAGAUUAUUUCUCAACCUUUUCUCCUGAAUUGUUUGAUUGGUUUGAAUAUAUAAAUGACUAAAUGAUAAUUUGCGUGGACUGAACCACUCUCCGGAACUUAGAAUCAUGAUAUGCACCAUUAUAGCUUAUAGACUGAUAGUUGCAUGUAGGAUUAUUUGUACUAGAAAUCUAGGUUAGUGUGGCUGGCACCAUCUGUAUUUUGGAUCCUUAACCAGUGACACAAUAAUCUGUUAAAUAUAUUUAAUUCUUUGAAUUGUUCAUAUACUGUCAAUUUUCUAACGAAAUUUAUUUUCAAUGCAGCCUGGUCACUUUCAGGGCAAUUCUUAUGACAUAUUAUUUGCUUUCCAGUGGAUCAAUUAGUGAUGAGCAAAGAAAGAAUGUGCUCCACAAUUCAUGUCACAGGUGCAGGUGCAUGUGCAUGUGGGGAAAAAAUAAUUUGAUUCCAGCUACAACAUCUCCGUCUUGUACUUCUGCAGUUCUGCUUGCGCCAAAAACAUCAUCGAUUGACGAUUGUCCCAAGUUGACAUUCAUGCAUCUAUGGGCCCACAGUACGUACGUCUCACAAAGUCGCAGAGAGAUGGAGGAAUUUUUUAUUUUAAUCUUUUUUAAUCUAAUAUUUUAAUAAUAGCCCGUUCAUAUCUAAAUUUCUAAGAACUAGCAUUUUUGGUCGUGCCAAGUCUCGUGGUGCGACUCUCUGAAGGGUCACGCCAUAUGCUUCGGCGCGACCGAGCUGCCACGCUGGCACACACGUGCCAGCAGGUCUGACGUGGCAAGGCUGAGUCGCGUUACAUGCUUUGGCGCGACUGAGUCGCGCCAUGCGCCGUGGCGCGACUCAGCCUAAUAUAGGCCCACCCGACCAGCCUCCUCUUCCUCCUCCUCCCAUUCUUUUUUCCUCCACUCCCCACUCGACCCGACCUCUAUGGCACCGCCCCUCCCUCUCCCCCUCUAGAUCCACUCCAUCCUCCACCCGAUUCGAAGGGGAAACAAAGAGAAACUGAUCCUUGAAGGGCUUGAGUUGAAAUGGGCCCAACAAUUCGCUAGGCUCCUUGGUGCUGCCGGCCGCCGCCACCUACGCCUCCCGUCGCUGCUGGGUCCCGCCGCGGUAGAAGAGAGCGUCUUUUGGUGCACAUGGAUCUUGUUUAUCUAUCAUGCACUACUGUAAUUUGAAUUAUUCUUGUAGUGGACUUGUAAUGUGCACUUUGUGGUCAUGUAUUGGUACUACUAUUAUUAGACGUGUAAUGGACCACACUUUGUGCAAUCGAGUAUAUUGUAAUGUCCUAUCAAACGGGUAAUUUGAUAUCUACAAUUU